rnacentral:rRNA from 1 species
GACAGAGGGGGCAAGCGUUGCUCGGAAUUACUGGGCGUAAAGGGCGCGUAGGCGGGAUGGCAAGUCGGUCGUGAAAUCCCUCGGCUCAACCGAGGAACGUCGAUCGAUACUGCUGUUCUUGAGGAUUGCAGAGGAGACUGGAAUUCCCGGUGUAGCGGUGAAAUGUGUAGAGAUCGGGAGGAACACCAGUGGCGAAGGCGGCUACCUGGACCGGUUCUGACGCUGAUGCGCGAAAGCGUGGGUAGCAAACAGG